rnacentral:rRNA from 1 species
UACGUGAAACCGCUCAGGGGUAAACGGAAAAGACCCGAAAUUUCGAAAGGAGAGAUUCACGUCUCUUUGUUGUCGGCCCAGCUCCGUCCAGAUGGUUCCCUGUACCGGGUGAGGUUUCGGCCUUGCCUGUGCUGGUCCACUCGGCCGGGGCGCGGAGUCUGGCUUCGGAGGACCGCACUUCUCUUCCUGUAGGACGUCGCGACCCGUUGGCUGGCGGUCUACGGACCGAGAAGGCAGCCUUCAGAUGGGCUGGUUUAGGCUCGCCCUCUGAAGACUUUUGGCUCCUGACCGAUCGGCCGGCGGUAUGGCGUGAAGGUGUUGGACCGCCGAUAGGCGAGCGUCCAGGCAAGCCACAAGCGGUGGCCUGUUCUGGUAGCACGGGCCUUGUGUCCGGCUGCUGGGCUCGCCCUGCUGUUGGCGGCUUGUUCUUGGACCGGUCUCAACACCGGUCGGCGACGCUUAAGCUUUGGGUGCUUAUCCGACCCGUCUUGAAACACGGACCAAGGAGUCUAACGUGUGCGCGAGUCGUUGGGAUUCGAAACGAUAAUCCCGUGGGCGUAAUGAGAGUGAAGGGGUAAAAGGUCUUCGGGCCUUUUAUCCCGAGGGAGGACGGGCGUCCGUACUUUUUAGUCGGCGCUCUGCACUCCCGGGGCGUCUCGAUCUCUCCGCAAGGCGAGGCGAGGCGCACCCAGAGCGUACACGUUGGGACCCGAAAGAUGGUGAACUAUGCCUGGCCAGGACGAAGUCAGGGGAAACCCUGAUGGAGGUCCGCAGCGAUUCUGACGUGCAAAUCGAUCGUCUGAGCU